UUGAACCGAUGAUCCAUCCACCCGGUGCCAAGUCGGGAUUAUAACUACGGUGCACCUGCAAUCUGUGGCCAAACCUCCACUGGAGAAAUCACCGAGCAUUAAACCCUAAUUCUCCCCUCCCUCUCCAAAGGAAAAAAAUGAUCAGACAGAGGUUAGGAUGGUUUGCUUUCGGUUUCACUGCGGCCUCUGCGACAAUCGGCGUCUUUGUCUACAAAGACCUUCAGGCCCAUCGCAACGCUCACUUUUCCCAAGCUAACGAGGAAUACAAUGUCCUUAAUACGAGAGUUACUAAUCUGGAACGGGUUUGCCUGAAUAAUCCCAAAUCUAAUGUCAAAUCGGGUGGUAGUGAUUUGAAAUAAUUACGUGGAGUGCUGUUUUAUUGGGACUUCAACUCAUCAUAGAUUUUGAGUGUCGACAAUUGCAAGGUUAUAUUGUUCUGGAAUUUUUUUCUGGCCAUCCUGGGUUCAUUGUACAUUAUGGCCUUAUGCUGUUUUGGUAUUUUCAGCAAUUAUUGGAUUUAAAAAGUAUAAUUUCUAAUCUGUUUACAGUUACUCUAUUUCUGGGAAUUAUAUGAUUCUGAUUUGACACUGAAAGAUAGGUGCAUAUUUUGGAAUAACAUUAGUGUAUAUGGAGGCUCUCUCUCUCUCUCCCUCUCUCCCUCUUCACUGUCUGUCUGUUUCUCUCUGUUAUUUCAUUUAUUUUUCUUUGAAUGUGGAAUUUUUGUUGGCUACUUGGUGCUUUUAAUAGAUUUAGUGAUUGACUGUUUUUGUGGGCAAUGAUGUUUUAUAUACCUUGAAUGCACUAUAAAGUUCCUCAUGUAAUUUAGUGAGCAGCCUAAAAAUUGAAAUCUAUCAUCUAUUCUGUAUCCCUACGUCGAUUUGAAUAUAUUGUUGUUGAUGCAAUAUAAAGUCUUUUGGUUAGUUUUUUGAGCUUGACAAAUUUCUUUUGUAGUCCUUUUGGAUUUAAGAAUUUGGGCACAAUUGAUUUACUAUCUUUAGCAUAGAACGCUUCUAAGUUUCAUAGAAUGUUUAAGUUUUGAUUAAGAACUUUUGAUCAAAUCCAUAGGAUUCAAUAGUACUAUUUUGAGUAAUCAUUAAAUUUAUAGAUUUUGAUAUCGAAGAUGAUUACAUUUACUUUCUUUCCCCUGAAUAAUAUGAUUUUGAUCUAACAAUGAAAGAUAGGGGCAUAUUUGACUAUAAUAUUAAUAUAUCAAAAGGCUCUCUCUCCCUCGCCUCUCCCCCCACUUUCGCUGUCUCUGUGUAUAUGUUGUAUUAAGUGUUAUAAUUUGCUUUUCUUUGAAUUCAGAGAUUUUGUUUGCUAAUCGGGGCUUUUAAUUGAUUUAGCAAGUGAAAGUUUCUAAGUGGAAACGAUGUUGUUUGGUUUUUCUUUUGACUUCUGGAUUUUUAUAGCUGUAAAUGCACUAAAAAUUUCCUCAUGUAAUUUAGGAUGUGGCCUGCUAAUUUAAAUCUAUCUUCUAUAAUGUAUCCCUACGUCCAUUUGAGUUUCUUAUAUUGUCGAUGCAAUAUGUGUGUCACUUGGUUUUGAGCUUAAUGAAUUUCUUUUGGAAUCCAUCUGCAUCGUAGGAUUUCGACACAAUUUUUUUUGAAAUAGUUGCAUUGAACACACCUAUGUUUCGUAGAAUGUGUAAGUUGCGAGCACUACUUUUCAUCAGAUCCAUAGGGAUAGGGAAUACUAUUUGACAGAUUUGGAAUUCAUAAUAAACUACUCACUUCAUAAGCUGCUUGCCAUUCUAACUCCAGUUAGUAUAUUAGAAUCCUAUUUCAAUUUUCUUGUCAUUUAACAAUGUAGUAUACAUAUUUCUUUGGAAAUCUGUCCAAAUUAAAGUCAAAUAAUGCGGAUGGAAACUUAGUUUUUCAUUCCCUGUAGAAUAAAUGUCUUUGUUGCCUCAAUUCACAGUAACCAGUGUUUAAGACUAUAUACAGAGUAUCUGUAGAAUGAGUAUCUUUUUAAGCUGUACACAUUUCUUAUGAAAAGAAUUAUAAAUGAAUAACUGAGGGGUUUGUCCCCAUUGAUGGCAUUCUAUGAAUAUAGGGUUGAUUCUAUAGAACUAUUCUUGUGGAGAAUAAAUGUGUUGAAUUGUAUCAUGUUUUCCUAAGCUAUCUAGUUGAUUUUUUCAAAAUUUGCUGGUUUGUAUAUAUCUAGCUAUAAUUUUAAAUUUAACUCUUCAACUUGAUAGCACCCCUGUGAUUCAUGUUUCUACUGUCGGUGUUGUUGUGGAGGUUGGUUGUUACUUAAAGAACUGAACUAGGUAUUGAGCCAUUAUUAGGUGCCUCAGCUGUUCCUGAUUCCAGCUUGUCUGCUGAUGUUGAAAAGGGUUUCAUAGAACCAUCUGAAGAAUGCUGGUACUGCUCAUAGUGUGCUUCAGUUGUCCAUAAUAGAAUUAAAGCCACCAUUACCGUUGACAAGAAUACCAUUGCUGCCCAGACCAUCCUUGUGUAUCGUUUUAGGGGUUUACAGUGUGUGUUUAGGAUUUCUGAAAAGGCGGUUGUUACUGUCUGACACUCAACCAGGCUUUCCAUAUCAGGAUAUUCAUUCAGUAACCUUUGUAUUGAAGUUGUGUAUAUCUCCAAUCUAUUGUAGUACUUGGUGGGAAUUACAAUUCCUCCCGUGCAACCUUGCUCAGAAUCAGGACAUGUCACCUGCUUCAAUAGCUUGAUGUAGAAAAGAAAUGGAAAAAAUGUUAGGAGAGAUUCAUGUUUCCUAAAAGUACACAUUGUUCUUUGAUCAGUUGAUUUUCAUUUCUUUAUAA